rnacentral:rRNA from 1 species
UUCUCUAAAAACCAUUUUUCGUCCCCUUCGGGGCGGUGGUCUAUAGUGUUAUUAAUAUCAAGUUGGGGGAGCACAUUGUAGCAUUGUGCCAAUUCAUCCAUUAACUUCUCAGUAACAGAUACAAACUCAUCACGAACGUCAGAAGCAGCCUUAUGGCCGUCAACAUACAUAUCACCAUUAUCGAACUCAACGCCCUGCAUACGAAAAGACAGAAUCUCUUCCAAGAGCUUGAUGCGGUUAUCCAUCUGCUUAUGGAAGCCAAGCAUUGGGGAUUGAGAAAGAGUAGAAAUGCCACAAGCCUCAAUAGCAGGUUUAAGAGCCUCGAUACGCUCAAAGUCAAAAU